AACCCUCGCCUCCACUUAAUGCUAAGUUUUCUGGACUCCUCCGACCUCCCGGAUUUUCUCUUCUUUCAGAGCAUGGAGAGGACAGACAUAUUCAAAGCAAGAGAUGGAAAAUGAAGCGAGAUGUGCGCACUUAAUAUUUGAUGCUUUGGCCUGAUGAACUUCCAGAGGGCCUGUGUGCAGCGUUCCACAAUGUGGCUCAUUUGAAGGAAGCUGGCGGCUGUCAAGUAAUUCACCAGCUCCAUCUCGGGAAACUCCAGGAUGCCACUGUAACAGGACAGGAGCAGCUGCUUUCCUACUUCAGAACUCUGCAAGAUGGAAAUUUUAACUUCUCUGGAGUCAUUCAGGAGGAACUGGUCCCGUAAGAAGGGAGAGCCGGCAGCAAACACAAUCUUGUGGCCGUGAAUUUCAAGAUCGUCAAUGCGGACUGUGAUGUCGCAAAACUUGUUCUCUUCUCUCAGCUUGUCCAUUUUCUGCAGCAUUGAGUCGCCAUAGUUAUCAAACUGGAAAUGAAGAAUAUCAGAUCUCUCAGUCAUUUUGACAAAAUUGAAGGCUAUCUACAAAGAGAGAGAAAAACGUUAUAGAACAAAAAUAUUUACAAUAUAUUCAAACAAGAAGCCUUAGACUAAGGAAUAAUGCUGCCAUUUAAAACCACAAUAUGCUUUCUGCAGUUCUUGCACUUUUCUGUUCCCACUGGAAAUAAUUAUAUAUUUUUAUUUUGAACCCCAUCCAGUCUGACCGACUGAACUAAGAAAGAGAAUGUGCAAUACACAAUGGGACCAUAAAUUGGUUUUAAAAAAUUAAUUAACUUAAUAAUAGCAGCUAAUAUUUUCUUAGUGUUAAGAUCACUUACAUCAGUGUCUCAUAAGUGAAAGCUAACAUUCUCUGCAGGAGUAGGGAGAGGGUGCUGCUGUUGACAGGCAGCAGCUUGCCUGACCUGGUUUCUGAGUAAGCUGGCAAAUAUGAAAUUUGAAUUGCAGACCUCUGUGCUGAGACUUUUAGCAGCCACUGCACACCAGCCUUUUCAUAAACAAUGCAGCUCACUAAUGGAACUUAUCAUACUUGUGGGAUUCAUGGCUAUAGCAUAUGGUGAUGGGUAAAAGCUCACACACUUAAAAAAAUUAUAAAUUUCUGUGCAGUAGAAAAGACAUACCAGCCAUGAUAGAGGGAUCAAAAAUGCCAGCAGCCAACAACAGGAGAAAUCUGUGAUCUUCAUGCCCUUAUUGUGAACUUCCCAGAAAGCAUUUGGUUGGCUGUUGUUAGGAAAGGGGGCUUGGCACACAGAGUCAUAUACCUAGCAUGUCCACAGAAUCAAGUGAUGCUUAAAGACAGAUUAUCACUAUUUAACUUCUAUGGUUAAAAUAUGUCCAUGUUCCUAGCUAAUUUGUGUGUGUGUGUGUGUUAUCAACAAUGAUAGUUUAUUUAUGCAUUAUUAUUUCAAAGUGUAGGGCAUCCACCUUAUAAUUACAGCACAAAGUAAUAAAUAUACACAUUGUUGGCUCAU